GAAGAAAGAGGGAGGAGGGAGGAAAAAAGGAAAGGAGAAAGAGGAAGAAUAGCUUGUGAGGGGGAGGAGGGGGGAACGGGUGAGUAAUAAGUGAGUGAAGGAGAUGUGACGUUGGGAUAAGCCUGGGAAAAGGGGUAUAAUAGCGGAGAUGAAAAAUUUCAGAAUGGGGUGUUGGUGGAACGAGUUAUGGAGUGGUGUUAGAUGGGCCCACGGCCUAUCAGCUUGUUGGUGAGGUAAUGGCUUACCAAGGGGCAAAGGAGUAGCCGGCCUGGAAGGGUGACCGCGCACACUGGGACUGAGACACGGCCCAGACUCCUACGGGAGGCAGCAGUGGGGAAUAUUGCACAAUGGGCGCAAGCCUGAUGCAGCGACGCCGCGUUAUUAAUUCCCUCCUUCUCCUUGUAAACCUCUGUUAGCAUCUAAGAAGCGAAAGUGACUGUAGGUGCAGAAAAAGCCCCAGCUCCCUACGUG
rnacentral:rRNA from 1 species